rnacentral:tRNA from 1 species
GGCUCAAUGGUCUAGUGGUAUGAUUCUUGCUUUGGGUAGCUCACUGCUCCGUUCUGCAAGAGGUCCUUGGUGAGUCUCCACAAUCCGCAUGCGGUUCCAGGGGUAUGCAUCUAACAACCGCUAGGUUCAAUUCCGAGUUGAGCCC